rnacentral:rRNA from 1 species
UCCAGACUCCUACGGGAGGCAGCAGUGGGGGAUAUUGCACAAUGGGGGGAACCCUGAUGCAGCGACGCCGCGUGGGUGAAGGAGCGUUUCGGCGCGUAAAGCCCUAUCGGCAGGGAAGAAGGAGGACGGUACCUGACUAAGAAGCCCCGGCUAACUACGUGCCAGCAGCCGCGGUAAUACGUAGGGGGCAAGCGUUAUCCGGAUUUACUGGGUGUAAAGGGGGCGCAGACGGCAGCGCAAGCCAGGAGUGAAAGCCCGGGGCCCAACCCCGGGACUGCUCUUGGAACUGCGCGGCUGGAGUGCAGGAGGGGCAGGCGGAAUUCCUGGUGUAGCGGUGAAAUGCGUAGAUAUCAGGAGGAACACCGGUGGCGAAGGCGGCCUGCUGGACCGUAACUGACGUUGAGGCUCGAAAGCGUGGGGAGCAAACAGGAUUAGAUACCCGCGUAG